AUGAAGCCUCUUCCACAACAGGAUCAUGGUCUAGAGUCAUCUCUUAUACACAGGUAUGAGAAAAAUUUGAGUAAACUCACUAAUUUUUAUAUACAACAUGCAAAAAAGAACUGGGCUAAAGAUGGAGAUAGGAAUACCAAGUUUUUUCAACAUGCUAUUCUCAAACGUAGAAAAAGAAAUACCAUUGUUUUCAUUAAGGAUGAGAAUGACACCAUUCAUUUCAGACCGCAAGCCAUUGCCAACACUUUUGUCAAUUAUUUCAGAUAUGUUGGUAGACCAUUUUUAGCAACUAUUCCUCCACAAAGCAGUGAUGACUAUACCUACAACAUUCCAGACAAGGAUGAAGUUUUGCAAACUCUCAAAGAUAUGAAGCGCAAUGCUUCUCCGGGUCCAGAUGGUUUCAAUGUUGAGUUCUACUUAGCCACUUGGAGUUGGAUUGGUGAUGAUGUCACUGUAUUGGUAAGCAAUUUCUAUCGAACUGGUAUAAUGCCUGAGCACAUAAGUAACACACACAUUGCUUUAAUACGUAAGAAGCUAGUUCCUCAGAUACCUGCUGAUUUUAGACCU
rnacentral:rRNA from 1 species